rnacentral:lncRNA from 1 species
CGUGAACCUGCAGUGUGGACUUGGUGGGGACGGCUCGCCUGCACUCCGGGUGGCAGGAGGUAGAGUUGGGUGUUGGGGGCUGGGGUCGUUAGAGCUCACCAUGCAACAUGACACACACCGCUACAUACACACCACUACACACACUAGAUACACCACUACACACACCACUACACACACUACACACACCACUACACACACACACUACACACACUACACCACUACACACACCACUACACACACUACACGCACACAGUACACACACCACUACACACACUACACGCACACAGUACACACACCACUACACACACUACACACACCACUACACACACACACCACUACACACACUAGAUACACCACUACACACACCACUACUCACACUACACGCACAGUACACACACCACUACACACUACAUACAAACCACUACACACACUACACACACACACCACUACACGCACACACUACACACACCACUACACACACACUACAUACACCACUACACACACCACUACACAUACUACACACACAGUACACACACCACUACACACUACAUACAAACCACUACACACACUACACACACACACCACUACACGCACACUACACACACCACUACAUAUACCACUACACACACCACUACACACACACUACAUACAAACCACUACACACACCACUACACACUACAUACCACUACACACACCACUACACACACUACACGCACACACUACACACACCACUACACACACACACUGCAUACACCACUACACACACACCGCUACACACUACACGCACACAGUACACACACCACUACACACACACUACAUACAAACCACUACACGCACACUACACACACCACACACACACCACACACACCAUUACACACACUACACUACACACACCACUACACACACACCACUGCAUACACACUACAUACACCACUACACACACUACACACACUACACACACUACACACACAACCACUACACACACACUACACGCACACACUACACACACAACCACUACACGUACCACUACACACUACACACAACCACUACACACACCACUACACACACACCACUACAUACACCACUACACACACCACUACACACACCACUACACACACUACACGCACAGUACACACACUACACACACAACAUACAAACCACUACACACACUACACACACCACUACACACACACUACACACACCACUACACACACACACUACACACACUACACACACACCACUACACACCACUGCAUACACACCACUGCACGCACCACUACACACUACACACACACCACUACACACACACCAUUACACACUACACACACCACUAUGCACACACAUACACACCACUACACACACAUUACGCUACACACACACUACACACACUACAGGCACACACUACACCACUACACACACACUACACACAUUACACACACUACACACUCCACUAUGCACACACUACACAUACACCACUACACACACACCAUUACACACACUACACACACCACUACACGCACACACUACACACACCACUACACACACACAGCAUUACACACACUACACACACCACUACACGCACACACCAUUACACACACACUACACACACCACUGCACACACUACACAUACACACCACUACACACACCAUUACACACACACUACAAACACCACUACACACACACUACACACACACCACUACACUACACACACCACUAUGCACACUACAUACACACACCACUACACUCACACACCAUUACACACACACUACACACACCACUACACACCACUACACACACACCAUUACACACACACUACACACACCACUACACACCACUACACACACACCAUUACACACACACUACACACACCACUACACACCACUAUGCACACACUACACACACACCAUUACACACACACUACACACACCACUACACACACACUACACACACACACCACUAUGCACACACUACACAUACACACCACUACACACACACCAUUACACACACACUACACACACCACUACACACACAUUACACUACACACACCACUACACACUACACACACACCACUAUGUACACACUACACAUACACACCACUACACACACCAUUAGACACCACUACACACACACUACACACCACUACACACUACACACACACCACUAUGCACACACUACACAUACCACUACACACACACCAUUACACACACACUACACACACUACACACUACACACACACCACUACACACUACACACACCACUAUGCACACACUACACAUACACGCCACUACACACACCACUACACACACGCAACACACACCACUAUGCACACACCACUACACACACUACACACACCACUACACUACACACACACCACUAUGCACACUACACAUACACACCACUACACACACACACCAUUACACUACACACACCACUACACAUCACUACACCCACACCAUUACACACACACUACACACACACUACACACACACUAUGCACACUACACAUACAUACCACUACACGCACACACCAUUACACACACACUACGCACACGACUACACACACUACACACACACUACUACACACACUACACACAUCACUAUGCACACACUAUACAUACAGACCACUACACACUACACACACACACCACUACACACACUACACACACACACCACUAUGCACACACUACACAUACACACCACUACACACACACCAUUACACACACACUACACACACCACUACACACACACUACACACACACACACCACUACACGCACACCACUACAUACACCACUACGUACACACACCACUACAUGCACACACCACUACACACACACACCAUUACACACACACACCACUACAUGCGCACACACACACGCGCACACGCAGGCCCUGGGCCCCCACCCACCUUCCUCAGCGCCCUCCCUGCACGUGUGACGCGGUGGCCCCCAAAAUGCCUCUGACCCUGCCUGGUCUUCCUAGAUGUUCUGCACCAGCUUUGCUGGUGUUUUCAGGGUGCCUACGGGGACCCCUCAUCCC